CAAUCUUUUACGGAUAGACUCACACCUUAGAGUAUUAAGGAAACUCUUAAAAACCUCUUUAAAUUUUAAGAUUAACUUCGCUUAGGAACCAGUCUUUUACGGGUAGACUCACACCUUAGAGUAUCAAAAAACUCUUAAAAACCUCUCUAACCUUUGCGGGUAGGUUAGGACCUUAGAGUAUCAAGGAACUCUUAAAAACCUUAGAAUCUUUAAAAGUAGAUUCAACUUAAGAGUUUUAUAAAACCAAACUUAGAGCUUUUUGGUUGAGCUCAAAAACCAUUUCUCACACUUUGGUGAUAUUGAGACAAACCUCUCAACCAAAGUGGACACACACAAAAGAUGAUUAAAGGAGUAGAAUAUUAAGCACACAAAACUUCUUAUUUGGUAAGAUGAACAAGAAGAAUAGAAGAAGUUGGAGAGCUUUUGAAGCUUUUGAAAGCUAGGACACUUGAGAAACUUUGGAAGCUUGAAAGCUUGGAAGCAAAGAACACUUUGGGAGAUCUCAAAUGUGGAGUGAAAGCUCAAAUGAGUGCUUAGAG
rnacentral:lncRNA from 1 species